rnacentral:rRNA from 1 species
AUACGGAGGGUGCAAGCGUUACUCGGAAUCACUGGGCGUAAAGCGCGCGCAGGCGGCCAUUUAAGUUGGAUGUGAAAGCCUACGGUUCAACCGUAGAACUGCAUCCAAAACUAUUUGGCUAGAGUGUGGGAGAGGAAGAUGGAAUUAGUUGUGUAGGGGUAAAAUCCGUAGAGAUAACUAGGAAUACCAAAAGCGAAGGCAAUCUUCUGGAACAUUACUGACGCUGAGGCGCGAAAGCGUGGGGAGCAAACAGGAUUAGAAACCCCAGUAGUCC